rnacentral:lncRNA from 10 species
GUGCCCCUUAUCAAUGCUACAGAGCGAUAGAUGUGAUUUAUGGGAAUCAAAUCACCCAGCCUUGGAUGAGAAGCUCAGUCUGAGACCUGGAAUUAUCAGGCAAGUAAGUCCGAGCUUGGAGAGAUUUCUUGAAGCAUUAGUGCCGUGUCCAGAACUCCCUACAACUUUCUUUAGGCCUUGAGUCGGGUCCUGGGAAGGACAGAACCCUCUUCUUUGGCCUUUCAAAAUAUUUCCACCAGACCCAGAGGAAAAGUCCUGGUGUUGGGUUGUCCCAAGACCAUCUCUUUCACAAGCCUUAGAACUCAUUUUUAUUUUCCCUGACAUUCUGGAUAAUGAUGUUUGACAAGUACUUUUAUUCCAGAUGAGAGAUGCUUGGGCCAACCUGGAGGCUGCCUGAUGUCUGCUCAGUCUUAACCUGGAGACAGGUCCUGCUGCUGCAGCGAUGGCUGGGUAGGAUGGCGUUACGGCCUCUUUUCCCGGGGCAGCACCUGGGGCCAGGAGGCCUAAGCCCCGUUGGCCUUCCAGCUUUGGGUUGCUCUCAGCCCUUUGCCCGCCUGUGCAUCUCCAGCUGGGAUAAGCACCUCUCUCCUAAUUUGGCUGGAAUCUAAAUGAGGUCUUCCAACAUGCAACCACAUCAGCUCCAUGUUGCCCAAAGGGGCAGACUCCGUGCAAAGCUCUGAGCCUUAGGCUGUGCGCCGUGGGGUCUUUACAGCAGGGGGACACCCAGGCUGGGCUCCUGGGAGGGACUCAGCCCCACUCUCGCCAGAGGGCGCCACACUCCUCCUUUAUCACCAUCCUGGCCUCGCUUCCGAGUUUCAGAGGCUCAGGAGAGGGGUCGGGCAGCCCUUCCAGGGAGAAUUCUCACAGCUGCACCACUCUGCAAACGACUCACAGGCGUUGCAGUUUCCUAUCGGGUCGCUGAAUGAUUUUAUGAGGGAAAAACAGCUGACCUGGCCAUGGCUCUUCUUCCAUAAAAUAAUCAAUUUUUGUAUUUAGCAACAGCAGGCCACAAACCGAGUUUCUUCCUUGGCUUCCAUUCCAGUUUAUGAGUCAAAAAUAAUUUUCCCCUUUUGCAAGUCCAACAUCGAUCCCACUUGGAAGCCGCGGUGGUCAAGAGAUUCCUCAGAAAUGAACCUGACAAAAUGGAGCUGGUGACAGUUUUCCUUUCUCUAAAAAACUUCUACCGAAACAGACUCUAUUAAUCGCGGGUGCAGCUACUAUUCCAAGAAACUGCGUGAAGACAUUUUUUUCUUUCUCAGUAGCUGUUCAUCACCGUGAAGGAGACGAUGACGAGGUUCCCAACCCAAGCACUGGGCUACGCGCCUCUUCCACGCUGCACGAGACGAGAAACCUUUACCAGCUCCUCCUGCCUAAAGGUGAAGUCUACCAAAGUCCACAUUCCUGAGUGUGGAAGGUGAUCCUUUGCAGCCUGGCCCCAGCUCACCUGUUCAGCCUCCUCCUCCGACACCCUCAGGAAACCCCCUGCCUUCUGGCCCCAUCUAAUGCAUCUUGAUGUUCCCAGAAUGCAUCAGGAUUCCUGGGAAUUCGACAGAGACAGAUAAGCAUCAGCUACUUUUGGUCUGGUGAUUUUCAACAAGAUUGUCUGGUGCAAAGACCCAGUUCAUCUCUCACCAGCCGAUACGUAGUUUGGAACUCAGUCUGAGCCAAUCUUCCCAGUUCCAGCAGGAUGCCUGCAGGAUGGAAAAUGACAGGGGAAAAGAGUUGCUUUAUGUGCACAUUUUAAAAGGAACCAUGUAAUUCUAUGCUCCUUGAAGCUACUUCUUAUUUAAUAAACUGAAGAUCUAAAUUCCAAGUAGUAUUUUGCUCUAGAACAUGCACAGAUUUCCAAGGAGGUUAGCGUUUGGGAGAAGAGACCAGAGAAAUACUCAGGUUUCAUCUAAAAAUACAACUGUUCCCCCCACCCCGUGGGGAUCACACGCCAUGUUUGUGAAACUGGCGUGUGACACAGCAGGUUUGUGGCUACAGCAGAAGGAAACCUCUUCUUUAUUCUCCAGGGAAUAUUCAACACUAACAUUGCUGGGUGGGGUGGGGGCUGGUUUGCCCCCAGUCCUAAGAUGAAAUCUCUCACAGCCAUGUGACCUUCCAGCAGCUCUUGGAUAAGAAAAAUCCUCCGGUCACUUCAAGUCCACAGUGCUCUGUUUGUGACAGGGACCCCUUGAAGUUAAAAUUCUUCCCAGCCAGUAGCCUUCCUGUCUGCCGGCCUCCCUCCCACUCCCUGGGCUGCCUGGACUCCUGCAGGGUGAAGUGGGAGGAGGGGCGGUACCCCUGUCAGCCCCCACCAUCAUUUCCUUUGGCUGUGUAAAUAUUUCAAGCGAAUUUUUCUCCUGUGAGGGGCUGAAGCAUUCCUUGGAGACUUCCUGGAAGCUGGGGUGUUGCUCACUUGAGGGGGUGAGGACAUCUUCAGCGGACGCCUGGGUUCCCUGGCUCAGCCAUUUCUCCUGGUGGCCCCCCUGGGCAGUUCCUUCUCAGGGUCCGUGUCCAGUCCAUGGGAAGCACUCAUGCAUCCUUUGUCCCAGGAGGUGGCACUCUCCCCAGGGAAGCCACCUUUCCUUGUUCUUUUUUUGUUUGUUUGUUUUUGAAACAGAGUCUCGCUCUGUUGCCCAGGCUGAAGUGCAGUGGCACGAUCUCGGUUCACUGCAACCUCUGCCUCCCGGGUUCAAAUGAUCCUCAUGCCUCAGCCUUCCUAGUAGCUGAGAUUACAGGUGUGCACUGCCACACCUGGCUAAUUCUUGUAUUUUUGUAGAGAUGGGGUUUUGCUAUGUUGGCCAGGCUGGUCUUGAACUCUUGCAAUCAAGCGAUCUUCCCGCCUGGGCCUCCCAAAAAUGCUGAGAUUACAGGUGUGAGCCACUGCACUCAGCCUCACCUUUUCUUGUUUUGACUUCAGGUCUUCUUGCCUUUAGGAUUUCUCAGGCAGGUGACAGACACCAGUUGUCAGGUCCCCAAGCUCUUGGGUACCUCUGACAGCUCUCUGAAGGGUCUCCUUGAAGUCCUUCUUACUAGGCCCCCCUUGUUUCAUCCACAGCAGGGACGGGAUGGGGAAGAAAAGUACCCCAGCAUCCAAGCACUGUCUCAAAAGAAGUUCUGUCGGCCAGGCGCAGUGACUCACGCCUGCAAUCUCAGCAUUUUGGGAGGCUGAGACAGGCGGAUCACCCGUCAGGAGGUCAAGAGUUUGAGACCAGCCUGGCCAACAUGGUGAAACCUCGUCUCUACUAAAAAUACGAAAAAAUUAGCUAGGCGUGGUGGCAGCCGCCUGUAAUCCCAGCUACUCAGGAGGCUGAGGCAGGAGAAUCCCUUGAACCUCGGAGGUGGAGGCUGCAGUGAGCCAAGAUAGGCGUCACUGCACUCCAGCCUGGGCACUAAGAGCGAAACUCUGUCUCAAAAAAAAAACAAACAAAAAGUCAUCUCUCAUUCUAACCUCUCUUGACCUUGCCACCUUCUGCCCUAGGGGCGGUCACAGGUUCCCGGAAGCCUCUUUGCAGGCCCCGGUGAGCUGGUUCAGUACCUCACUUCAGAACAUUGGAGUUGUUGGCACCUACUGGUUUGUUUUCCGCCUCAGGAGUUUUGCCAGAAUUGAAACAGUAUCUUUUUUAUUUUUAUUUUUUGAGACAGAGUCUUGCUCUAUCUACCCAGGCUGGAGUGCAGCGGCUGGAUCUCAGCUCACUGCAACCUCUGCCUCCUGGGUUCAAGCAAUUCUCCUGCCUCAGCCUCCCAAGUAGCUGAGUUUACAGGCAUGUGCCACCACACCUGGCUCAUGUUUGUAUUUUAGUAGAGACAGGGUUUCGCCUUGUUGCCCAGGCUGGCCUUGAACUCCUGAUCUUGGGUGAUCUGCCUGCUUCAGCCUCCCAAAGUGCUGGGAUUACAGGCGUAAGCCACUGUGCCCAGCCAAAACAGAAUCAUUUUUAACGUCUUGUUCCAUUAUAUUUGCUGAAGGUAGCAGGACCAGGAGAUAGUUGUAAUAGCAUAGCUGGUCUUCUUUGGUUUAUUGAUAUUCUAGGCAUUUCCAGUGUCCUACUGGAAGCUACUAGUGGCUUCAAAAGUUGCUGGUCACCUCAUGGUCAUAAAUGGCUGCCGCUGCUCUGGGAAUCACACCCAGAGUCAAGUCUGUCUUCUUAAAAAUAUAUGAAAAUGGCUACAUCCAGACCAUGGAAUAUUAUUCAGUGGAAAUGAGCUAUCAAGCCGUGAACAAACAUGGAGGAAAGGUAAAUGCGUAUUAUUAAGUGAAAGAAGCCGCUCUGAAAAGGCUAUGUUCCGUACGAUUCCAACUAUGUGACACUCUGGAAAAAGCAAAGCCUUGGGGACCAGGGGUUGGGGGAGGAAGAGGUUAGCAGGCGGAGCAUGGAGGAUUAUCAGGCGCUGAAAUUACUCUGUAUGACACAGCAAUGGCAGGUACACGUCAUUGUACAUUUGUCAAAUCGCACAGAAUGUACGACACCAAGAGUCUGUAAUGUAGAUGAUGGACUUUGGGUGAUAAUGAUGUGUGAAUCGUUUCAUCGACUGUCAGAUGAAUCAGCUGCAGGGUGUUGACAGAGCGGGAGGCCGUGGGUAUGUUGGGUAAGGAAGUCUAUGGGACCUCUGCAUUUUCUGCUCAAAUUUGCUGUGAACUAAAACUGCCUAAAAUAUAAAGUCUGUUUAAAUAAAUAAAUAUGUAUGUAUGAAAGAAUGAAAAUUGGUGGAAUAGAGAGGCCUGGGUAUAUUUUUUCUUAGAAGUCCAGCCCAUUUGAGUCCCAAGAUCUGCCAACAGAUCCUUCCUCCACGUCUGAAAUGAUGUUGCGUCAGGCAGAGGCACACAGCCCCGACUGUCUCCAGUACAGACAUUUCUUCAGGCCACUUCACCUUCCUCUGCUUACAGCUCCCUCCGGGCAGGCGCGGGGCCUGCCUGUGCUCAUCCUGCAGGCAGAGAACAUUGCCAGAGAACACCACCACUAAUGGGAAGACUGCCCCCUGACCGGCACAUGGCCUCAGCAUUCAUCCACAGAUGCUCCUCAAAUUGUUUUAAAAACAGCUUUUUUUAAAAGCUGUUUGUCUAUGAAGAUUAAAUGAGUUAAUAAUAUAAGCAAAGCACUUUGCAUGGCUACUGGGCACGGUGGUUCAUGCCUGUAAUUCCAGCACUUUGGGAGGCCGAAGCAGGUGGAUCACCUGAGGUCAGGAGUUCAAGACCAGCCUGAUCAACAUGGCGAAACCCUGUCUCUAUUAAAAAUACAAAAAAAAUAGCCGGGCAUGGUGGCACGUGCCUGUAAUCCCAGCUACUUGGGAGGCUAAGGCAGGAGAAUCGCUUGAACCUGGGAGGCAGAGGUUGCAGUGAGCCGAGACCUCGCCGUUGCACUCCAGCCUGGUUGACAGAGCAAGACUCUGUCUCAAAAAACAAAAAAACCCCAGCUUUUGUCCAGAGGUUGCUUUUUGUGGGUCUGUACGCUGAGGCCAAGUUCUAUGUAAGCAGAGCCCUCCCACCUCACCUCCAAACAAUGCCUCUAAACCAUCACAAUCUGAAAGGAAAAUAAAUCCCUUUCUUCAAUGGUGACCUGAAGCUAGCCAAGGACCGGGUGCUGGCAGGUGGCCUGCGAGACUGGGUCGGAUCCCGGGUUACUGUCUGAGGAGGGAUGCCGUGCUGUAAGGGUUGGGGAGCCAGUGUCUGGCUUCCUUGUCACCACAAGACCUGUGGUUUCCAGCUCUGUCUGCAUCCAGGUCCCACUAACCAACAGCAGGAGAGAAAACAGUUGUGCACACAGGCGGACGCGCACACGCGCACCUGGCCCCCCAGACGUGCACAGCCCUCAGAGGAAGUGGAGCACCAGAUGUUCUGGGUUUCCUGUUCGACGCUUCCACAGCUGGUCGAGUCUGUGGUUGUGGUUUGUCUGUCUCGGGCUCAUGUGAGAGACAAAAGCUGGGCUGACGGGAAACCUCUUCUCUCGGCCCCCACUCCCCAGCUCUGACUGAUUAGGAAACCUGGCAGGUCAGAAAUUUCCUGAAACACCCAGAGCUGGAUUCUCCCAAGAAGAAGCUGAACCCCCAACUCCCAUCCCUGAGGAGCAGCCCCUGGGCUGAUGAUCAGGACUUACAGAACCUGGGGCGAUGGAAACCUCUACAAAUAUCCCAUUUAGAAAGACCGCCAGCCCUGCCAACAGAAUGAAACGGAGGCCAGGUUGCUAUGGUCUCUACUCCAAUGCCUGACAUUGAGCCGCUGCUGCAAAACACUCAGCACAUGAAGGAAUGAAUGAGGAACAGAGAACUUCACCUUUGGGGGUUGGGUGUACAAGCCCCAACUGGGCCCCAAGUCCCAUAAAUAGCUUUGGAUUCCAACAUACAAGCAUUUGACGCAGCGAGGUGCUGCCGACUUGCUCUGUGACUUGGAGCAAGUCAUUUAGCCUCUCUGGGCCUGGUGUCCUCAUCUGCAGAAUGGAGAUGAUAAUAUCUACUUCACAAAGGUGUGAAGGCCCUGUGAGACACCGCAUGUGGAUUUCCUCGACAUUGUUUGCCCAUCGUAACUGCUCCAGAGAGGCUGGGCUCCCUUUUCUCGUUGCAACACUGCUGUUUAUUUCAGGAGAUACUCUAAAAGGGAAGCAAGCUAAAACAAAGAACAACCAAAAACACUGAUCCCGGGACAACUGCCCGGCAGGACAGCAGAGCAAGGGUACUUGGUGCUCUUCGUUGGGGGGAUGUUGGGAGAAGGGGCUGGAGCCAUCCCAGGGUCUCCAGGCUCUGGAAGGGAGCACCCCAUGUCCUCCUCUGGGUGUGGAAUAGGGUGAGUGUCUUAGGGGUGGAGAGAGAACAGGCAGAGUGUGCUCUCACCCCUUAGCUCUGUAGUGAUUUUAAUGAUUAAGGCUACUGUUCGGUCUGCAUUUGGACCUGAGCAACAGGGACCCCUGCCCAGAGGUCCAUCCUUCAGCAGCGUGCACUGCAUCCCCCUCCACUGCAGCUGACUCUAUGAGAUGAAGCAUCUGUCGCUCAGUGUAGCCAUCAGGUCCACUGCCCCUGAAAUAUGACUGACUAGGUUCAAAUGUUGACUCUGACACUUAGAAGCUGUGCCACCUUGGGGCAAGUUACUUCAUCUCUCUGUGCCUUACUUUCUUCCUUUAUAAAAUGGGUAAAAUAAUAACCACACCAUCGGUUGUCUAUGAAGAUUAAAUGAGUUGAUAAUAUAUGCAAAGCACUUAGCAUGGCUACUGGCACAAGGGUCAGUAAACGUUAACUGUUCCACACAUGAAUGUGUUUGAUUCUUAUAAUGCCCCAUGGGUAGAUUCUGUUAUUAGCUCUGUUUUACACAUGAGAAAACUUAGGCACAGGAGGUAAAGUAACAUUUGCAAGGUCACACCGUUAAGUAGCAAGGCUGAGGCUUUACUCCAGUUCUUUUUUUUUUUUUUUUUUUUGAGGCAUCUCACCAGGCUGGAGUGCAGUGGCACAAUCUCAGCUCACUGCAACCUCUGCCUCCCGGGCUCAAGCAAUUCUCCUGCCUCAGCCUCCCGAGUAGCUGGGAUUACAGGUGUGCACCACCAUGCCCGGCUAAUUUUUGUAUUUUUAGUAGAUACGGAGUUUCGUCAUGUUGGCCAGGCUGGUCUCGAACUCCUGACCUCAGG